rnacentral:rRNA from 1 species
CCUACGGGCGGCAGCAGUGGGGAAUAUUGGACAAUGGGCGAAAGCCUGAUCCAGCCAUGCCGCGUGUGUGAAGAAGGCCUUCGGGUUGUAAAGCACUUUCAGUGGGGAAGAAAGCCUUGGGGCUAAUACCCUCGAGGAAGGACAUCACCCACAGAAGAAGCACCGGCUAACUCCGUGCCAGCAGCCGCGGUAAUACGGAGGGUGCGAGCGUUAAUCGGAAUUACUGGGCGUAAAGCGCGCGUAGGCGGUCUGAUAAGCCGGUUGGGAAAGCCCCGGGCUCAACCUGGGAACGGCAUCCGGAACUGGCAGGCUAGAGUGCAGGAGAGGAAGGUAGAAUUCCCGGUGUAGCGGUGAAAUGCGUAGAGAUCUGGAGGAAUACCGGUGGCGAAGGCGGCCUUCUGGACUGACACUGACGCUGAGGUGCGAAAGCGUGGGUAGCAAACAGGAUUAGAUACCCCAGUAGUC